UCGAACCAGGCUUCAUUCCCC
rnacentral:miRNA from 2 species